rnacentral:lncRNA from 1 species
UGCCGUUGUGCGUUGUUUGUUUUUAAUCUUGGAUUAGUUGGAUAUGUAAUAUGGUUGAUUGGAUUACUUGCUAGUGAGUAGUGGGUACUUUAGUUCUGUUAUGUUCAGCUGAUAAAAUGAUGUUAUGUUCUGUUAUGUUCAGUUUAUCAGGUUAUGUUUUAUCAUAUGGUUAUGACUUAUGAGGUUAUGUUCUAUAACACUUUGUAUUGUAAUCAGGUUAUGUUUUAUCAUAUGGUUAUGACUUUGUAUUGUUAUCAGGUUAUGUUUUAUCAGGUUAUGUUUUAUCAUAUGGUUAUGACUUUGUUUUG